CUGCUUUGGCAGCAUAUGUACUAAAAUUGGAACAAUACAGAGGAGAUUAGCACGGCCCCUGCACAAGGAUGACACGCAAAUUCGUGAAACAUUCUAUAUUUAA
ensembl:snRNA U6 U6 spliceosomal RNA